CAAAUUGUACUUUUACUUAAGUAUUUCUCUAACACCAGUACUUUUACUUGUAAUAGAGUAAUAGCAAUGUAACAGUACUUGUUGAGUACAGAUUUUCAGUACUCUUUCCACCACUGCCUGUUAUGCACACAACACCUAAUUAGGCUCAUUCAUAAUGAAGCCAUCGAAGCAGUUAACGUUUGUUAAUUCUCUCACAUAUCUUUUAAUUUACGAAUUUUACUGUAUUUAAUUGUUAUUUGGUCAGGCAGUUCUUAAGACAUCUAUAAGGGGCCUGUAUGCAAAGGUCUUGUUUCGCGCUCAAAACGUUAACAGUCCAUUCGGAAUGCAGUGCUGCUAGCUGUGAAUUCGAGGAGAACUUCAUAUCAGACAUUCACAAAGUGAGGUGCACUGAAGAGUAAUGCAAUGACUCAAAAUGUGAACCGCAAAGAAGUGGAAAUAGCGCUGGGGAAGUGGUUUACCGGCGCACGUGACCGUGGAGGGGAGAGGGCUGCAAGAGCCCAAAGAGAAAAAGGAGCGUCCACCACACAGAUGCCAUGAGUACUGCGUACUCUGCGUAUAGGGAGCGGCGGUACUGACGCCAGCGGUCCCACACUCUGCGCCACACCACUUCACGCCACCGGUCCCAAUCUCCGUCUCACAGCAUCCCACGCCAGUGGUCCCGCACUCCACGCCACAGCUCUUCACACCCACGGGACAGCUCUCCACACCAGCGCUCCAGCUCUUCUUAUGAGUGCUCCCAAAAACCAGCUAGGGGGAACCAGCACAGAGAGGGUGGAGAGCUAUUCCCAUUAGAUAAUGGAAAAUUCCAAAGGCGGGUCCUUUAUCUUCUUUCUGAUAUUCGGGCAAAGCUGUCAGAGGUGGGCCAAAACCGUGAGCCCCCAGAGUCUCAGUUCCACCUUGAGAAAAUGAACAGCAGGCGUGAGCUAAAAAAUCUGGAAGGGCAACUGGCCGUUGAAGAAAAGAUGAAUGUGAUGGUGUCUCGCUUAGUCAGGAUUGGGGGUGCAGACCUUGAGGACUGUGUAAAAAAUAUGAUGAAAAGAGUUCUUACCAACAGAUUGAUGGCAACAAUGAACAUGGACGGCUCAGGAUGAAGAAGGCCUUUGGAAAAACACGGCUAUGCCGUGUUAUAAUAGGUGCUGUACAGCAGUCGAAACCUUCUGCGUCAGAGGCCGAAAUAAAGAAAUACAUGGGCAGCUAUCUCCAGUCUGCUCCUGAUAGAUAUGGGGGUAUGGGACGGCAAAAGGGGAAAUCGGCCAUUGCAUUCUGUUGUAGAAUGCACCUAUUGUUUAUCUACAAUGUUUCUGUUCAUUAAUUUGUUUAUCUACGAAACAAAUUACAAAACUGGUUUUAUUUUAAUUUAACUUGCUCUUUGUUUUUAAAGGUCUUGAGAGCUUUGAUGUAAAAACCUGUAAUAUGUCUGUCGUGAUGACACAAAAUGCAAUUGUUCAUCAAUUAAGAUUUAUAUCAGAUUGAAAUUUAUAUAUAAAAUUCUGAUAUAAACCAGUGGAUUUAAUAAAACAUGUCUUGCGUUUAA